UGGGCUCGUAGCUCAGUUGGCAGAGCAGACGGCUCAUAACCGUCCGGUCGGAGGUUCGAGUCCUCCCGGGCCCACCAU
rnacentral:tRNA from 1 species